GCAGCAUGGCCACGCCGCCGCUCCCCGCUUCGCCGCUAGCACCCUUCCUCCUCCUCCUCCUCCUCCUCUCUCGCCGUCACCUGAAAAAAAAAUCCCAAAGAUUUCUGCUUUAGUUUAAGCUACUGACCCGAAUCCUAGCAGCAACUAGCUAAGCAAAGAACUGGUAAGUAAAAGAAAGUAAAGAUCUUUCGAUUUCUCUGCUUUGCUUCGUACCUCUGCCAUGGAGAUGCGGGUGGUGAUGGUGCCUGCUGCUGGAUUCGGCGAAGGGAAUCAGCGCCGCGAGGAAGACGGCAAGAAGAACGAAGGCCAAGAACAGAACCGAGUUACUCCUCAUCUCGCUUUCGUUUUCUUCCUCUCUUUGCAAUCAAGAAUUCGGUGUCUAUCUAUCUGUACGCGGCUAAUAGAAGACUGCUCUUAUAGGGGGACAAAAUCCAAACCGUGUGCCCCUGCCCACUGAGAAGCCACCAAGUCUUCCUCUUUUAUUUGCUCCUUUUUUUUUUCUGACGAUAGAGAAGCCACCAAGUUGACGAC
rnacentral:lncRNA from 1 species